rnacentral:rRNA from 1 species
UGGGCGUAAAGCGAGCGUAGGUGGCUUGAUAAGUCAGAUGUGAAAUCCCCGGGCUUAACCUGGGAACUGCAUCUGAUACUGUUAAGCUAGAGUAGGUGAGAGGGAAGUAGAAUUCCAGGUGUAGCGGUGAAAUGCGUAGAGAUCUGGAGGAAUACCGAUGGCGAAGGCAGCUUCCUGGCAUCAUACUGACACUGAGGCUCGAAAGCGUGGGUAGCAAACAGGAUUAGAUACCCUGGUAGUCCACGCCGUAAACGAUGUCUACUAGUCGUUGGGUCCCUUGAGGACUUAGUGACGCAGCUAACGCAAUAAGUAGACCGCCUGGGGAGUACGGCCGCAAGGUUAAAACUCAAAUGAAUUGACGGGGGCCCGCACAAGCGGUGGAGCAUGUGGUUUAAUUCGAUGCAACGCGAAGAACCUUACCUGGUCUUGACAUACACAGAAUCUUGUAGAGAUACGAGAGUGCCUUCGGGAAUUGUGAUACAGGUGCUGCAUGGCUGUCGUCAGCUCGUGUCGUGAGAUGUUGGGUUAAGUCCCGCAACGAGCGCAACCCUUGUCCUUAGUUACCAGCGGGUUAAGCCGGGAACUCUAAGGAUACUGCCAGUGACAAACUGGAGGAAGGCGGGGACGACGUCAAGUCAUCAUGGCCCUUACGACCAGGGCUACACACGUGCUACAAUGGUAGGUACAGAGGGCAGCUACACAGCGAUGUGAUGCGAAUCUCAAAAAGCCUAUCGUAGUCCAGAUUGGAGUCUGCAACUCGACUCCAUGAAGUAGGAAUCGCUAGUAAUCGCGGAUCAGANNNNNNNNNNNAAUACNNNCCCGGGCCUUGUACACACCGCCCGUGCGGCGUGGGAGUGAUUGCACCAGAAGUGGUUAGCCGAAC